UACGGGGGGGGCAAGCGUUGCUCGGAAUUACUGGGCGUAAAGGGCGCGUAGGCGGUUGGAUAAGUCAGCUGUGAAAACCACGAGCUCAACUUGUGGCCUGCAGUUGAAACUGUCUGGCUAGAGUGUGGGAGAGGGAAGUGGAAUUCCUGGUGUAGCGGUGAAAUGCGCAGAUAUCAGGAAGAACACCCGUGGCGAAGGCGGCUCUCUGGGACGGUACUGACGCUGAGACGCGAAAGCGUGGGGAGCGAACAGG
rnacentral:rRNA from 1 species